GACGGGGGGGGCAAGUGUUCUUCGGAAUUACUGGGCGUAAAGCGUGCGCAGGCGGUUCGUUGUGUCGGCGGUGAAAGCCCCGGGCUUAACCUGGAAUGGCCGUUGAAACUGGCGAACUGGAGUGUGGCAGAGGGGGUGGAAUUCCGCGUGUAGCAGUGAAAUGCGUAGAGAUGCGGAGGAACACCGAUGGCGAAGGCAGCCCCCUGGGCUAACACUGACGCUCGAGGCACGAA
rnacentral:rRNA from 1 species